CAGGGGAAUCAGCAGAGGUACAGUAGCAGGGGAAUCAGCAGAGGUACAGUAGCAGGGGAAUCAGCAGAGGUACAGUAGCAGGGGAAUCAGCAGAGGUACAGUAGCAGGGGAAUCAGCAGAGGUACAGUAGCAGGGGAAUCAGCAGAGGUACAGUAGCAGGGGAAUCAGCAGAGGUACAGUAGCAGGGGAAUCGGCAGAGGUACAGUAGCAGGGGAAUCGGCGGAGGUACAGUAGCAGGGGAAUCGGCGGAGGUACAGUAGCAGGGGAAUCGGCAGAGGUACAGUAGCAGUAUGUGUUAUCCAGGGAAUGAUGUAUCUAUGAGAUGGAGGUCAGUAUGUGUUAUCCAGGGAAUGAUGUAUCUAUGAGAUGGGGGCCAGUCUCCCAGUCUCCCGGUCUCCCGGUCUCCCGGUCUCCCAGUCUCCCAGUCUCCCGGUCUCCCGGUCUUCCAGUCUCCCUCCUCUCAUCCACCCCAGGGUGAUAUCCCUCCUGCUGAUAUCCUUGUCUACUGCUAAGAGAGAAUACUCUCUCAUCUUCCGCGCCCCCCUUUAAUCUUCUCAUCAACACGGAGAUUACACAGUGCCGCGCUUGUAAGAACUAGGAACACAGCGCACAACGAGGGGCGCGGAGGGAACAGAAAGGGGUAGAUAAGAAAGAAGAGGACACAGAGAGGGAGAGAGGAGAAAGAGAGAUGGAAAGAAGAGAGAGAAAGAAGAGAGAGAGUAAAAUAGAGAGAGUAAAGGAGAGAGCGAGAGAGAGGGGGAGAGAUGAAGAGUAAAAUAGAGAGAGUAAAGGAGAGAGAGAGAGGGAAAGAAGAGAGUAAAAUAGAGAGAGUAAAGGAGAGAGAGAGAGAGGGAGAGAUGAAGAGUGCAUCAGAGGGUGUGACGUACUAUCACCCAUCAUUAGCUCUGUUUACACACGUACCACAGGAGGAAAGGUCACCAUCCCCACAGUGUCUUUUCGCCUCGGUGACAAUAUGUUAUCUUUCCUCUCAGCGGCUCUGACUAACCCCAGAUCAGUGUCUGCAUCUCUAACGGCACCCUGUUCCCUGUGGGCCCUCGUUGCACCCUGUUCCCCGUGGGCCCUCGUUGCACCCUGUUCCCCGUGGGCCCUCGUUGCACCCUGUUCCCCGUGGGCCCUCGUUGCACUGCGUAAGGAAUAGUGUGCCAUUUGGGACGGGAUCAGUUUCUAGGGGCUGCCAACCGGUAAUCCUGUUGGAUUGUCGGAUAUAAGGGCAGAGGGCCUGGAGGACACAGAAGAGAGUCAUGUGGGUUCAAGACCAAGGGAGGAGGAGUGGAGGGGUGGAAGACAAGUGGAAUAGCAGGAAGAUUGGAGGUGUGGUGGAAGGGUGGAAUAGCAGCAGGAGGAACAGUGGAAGGGAGGUGGAAUAGCAGCAGGAGGAACAGUGGAAGGGAGGUGGAAUAGCAGCAGGAGGAACAGUGGAAGGGAGGUGGAAUAGCAGCAGGAGGAACAACAGUGGAAGGGAGGUGCGAGCUGAGUUUGAAAUUAACAAUUAGAAAAAGUCAUGAAGGAAUGGUCAUAAUCACUCCCACUAAUAAUCAGUCACUGAUCUACGGAGACAAAUCCACCGACACAGGAAAUUAUAUUACAUACCAGGAAUGAGAGGGAGAGAGAGAGAGAGAGGAGAGGAAGAGAGGAACAAGAGCAAGAGUGAGGUGGCCAUGGGAUCUGUUUCCUGUUUCUGCUGCACACACACACACACGCAUGCUCAUACACACUCACCCACAAAUGCACACACACAUACGAACACUAACACACACAUACACACAUAAACACAUAAACUCAAGCACAAGCACGCAUUCACAUACACACACUCAUACACGCACACACACACAUACACACACACAUAUACACACACACACACAUACAAUCACUCACAUGUACUCACACACAAACACACACUCACACGCAUGCUCAUACACACUCACACACAAAUACACACACACACACAUGCAUACACUCACUCACACAGAUGCAUACACACACACACCGUGUAUAAUGCAUGGGGGUUCAGUGACAUUAAAAUUAUAGGUUAUUGAGCGUUUUAAAGGGAUUUAUAGGUCAGAGCUACAGUCUGUGGCAGAGAGAGAGAGAGAGACUGCUACUCCAGUGAUACCCAGCUUUCUCUCUCAUACACACAGUCAGAAAUACACACUUUUCCACCUCUGCAGCAGUGCUCUUAUAAAUUACCUGUCGGUUUUACUCAGGACUGUUUUCCUAUUCUUCCUCUCCUCUCUCUCCCUCUCCUCUCUUCUCUCCCGCCCUCCUCUCUUGUUUUCACAUUCUUCCUCUUCUCUCUCUCUUCUCUCUUGUUAACAGAUACUUCCUCUUCUCUCUCUCUCUCUCUCCAUCCCUCCCCUUCCCUCCCUCCAAAUCUCCCUCCCUCCCUUCUCUCCAUCCCUCCUCCCUCCCUCUCUUCAUCCCUCCCUUCACCCCUCUCUCCAACCCUCCCUCCCUAUCUCUCCCUACCUCCCUCCCUCCCUCAUUCCCUCAAUCCCUCCCUCUCUCUCCAACCGUCUCUCCAUCCCUCCCUCCCCCUCUCUCUAUCCCUCCCUCCCUUUGGACACACC
ensembl:lncRNA